AUUUUUCUGUUAUCGAAGAUUUUUUUAUUCCGCUCUAGCAACAGAGCCUACCAAACUGACUGAAACGACGGUCGAUAAUUCCCUUUUCCUCACGGUACCCCACUUAGCAUUACUAUUGUUCCAGAGCGCAUCAGUUGAAUCGCAAGAUAUCAUACUCAUAUUAUAUUCUAUGUGAAACUAUUGGUACAUAUAUUCCUUCCCCGCCCUUUCUAGCUAGUUAUUUGGAACUAUAGGUACGAAUUCUAGUACCGCAAGGUUUUCUAACCCUAUUCUGUUUUGAUUAUCCCAUUAAGUUAAAUUUAGAUUAUGCCUAAUUUUAUUGAGAUAUUCCUAAUCUUAGUAGAUUUGUAUUCCUAGUUGUAUUAGGAUUUAGCUACUAUUAUAAAUAUACCCUUUAUACCAUUGAUUUGGUGCGGAAGAUGAGAGGUGUAUUUUUUGCGAUUAGGGUUUUGUGAGAGAGGCAUAUUUUGUACACCACUUUGAUUCUAAUGAAGAUUUUCGCUCCGUCUUCGCCCGUGGACGUAGGCCGUUGGCCGAACCACGUAAAUAUUGUGUGCUUUAUUUUUCUUCUCUCUUUCUCGGAUUUCUUUUGGUAUUUUCGCAUCCGACGAAUUAGAUCUUCUCGGUUUUAGUUCUAACAAACUGGUAUCAGAGCCUUUCUAUUCCCUUUGAAGAUUAAGAUGACGACGAAGUUCGAGAUUCAGAAAUUUGACAGGACCAACAGUUUCACAUUAUGGGAAGUCAAGAUGCGUGCAGUAUUGACGCAGCAAGAAUUGCAGAAGGCACUGUUGGGAAAAGAAAAGAUGCCCGAUUCGUUAAUGGCAGUUAGCAGCAUUUGAGACCCUAUGGGGCGUUUGGAGAAGACGGAGAACGGAGCGUUAAGGAGCAUUGAGGCGAAUUAAAUUCAAGGUGGAGUUUUUUGGCGAUCUCGACAUAGCGGCGGCUAAACUACAAAUUAACCCAAGGUGGAGAUUAUUAUAUUUGGUUUAGAUUUGUAGUUAUCUAAAUUGAAAUUAAAUCCUAAUCUAAUUAGGAUUGGAUAUAAUUUAGAUUUAAAUUGGCAUAUAUGGAUUAUGAGUCGGAAUCUAAUUUAUAAUUGAAUUAGGAUUAGACUCUAUUUAGGAGACAUGUAUUAUAAAUAUAUGCUAUGACCAAAUUAAUCGCCGCGACUCAA
rnacentral:lncRNA from 1 species